rnacentral:lncRNA from 9 species
AGAAGCUAGAGGCAAAAGAAGAAUCAACCCUUCCUAUCCCUCCAAAAGAUGCAGUUGUGUCGUUCCUGAUGAGUACAGCUUUCUCGAAAAUGAGCCAAGACACAGAGCUGGGGUCUCCACUGGUGCCCAAGGCCUGCCCAGAGACUACUAGAACCCAAUGUCACAGGAGGCACACCCAGAUUCUUGUACUCAUGUUACCUAAACCUGAAACCCUCAAAGUACUUAAAGAGAUGUCAGCAAAAGAGCUAUUUGUGGUUUUCACUUGCUUUUAUUUAAGUCAACUUUACCAUACAGCUCAGACUGGAGUUGCUGAGGAUCUGGUACACUCACAGUGUUCAAAAUCAUGCUGUUCUUGGCAUGAACCAGGUAUAUCUUAGUUUCAUUUUUUCUUAGGACAAUUUCUUUCCCAAGGAUCUCAUUGGUCACUAAUGCAAAUAGACAGCUGAGGAGCCUGAGCUUUCAGUCUCCAGGCAGGCCUGAUUGCUAAGGGCAGCACAGCUUUGGAUCCAGCUUGACCCUUAUUAAUAAUGAUCUUGCCUGCCUUCCAAGGCCAUAUGGUCUAGAUGUGAUAGGCACAUAGCCUGACUGAUUAUUUCAACUCUCUGUGCUAAGUGAUACAGUAAAAGAACAUCAUAAGAGUCAUUUAACUAAAUGUAGAGAAUCCCAAUGGACUUCCUCAGAGACAGGAAGCCUUGUUUGAUGCCUGAAGCAUGAACACAUUAUACUUCAUUCCAUUUUCAGCAAUGCCAAAUUCUCCUUCCCAAUCAAGAUGAAUUAGAGAAAUGUAAGAAACGAAAAUACAGCCCCAGAGUCUCAGGGGCUCCAGUUUCUGGAAAUGGGUGGUAAUAGCCAUGUAAAGGCCUGGGAAAGAUGGAUAAAGUCAUUUCAGGACAAACUCCUAGUAGCUGUUGUGCACACAAUUACUUCAGACCUUUAGCUGAAUAAUUCAUGCCUAUCUUGAAGUUUAGAGCUCCUCUCUGGACCACUGGCACACUGCACUGAGAAGGAUGUUCAUGAGACAUGUGGAGUUUGGUCAGCAUGACCUUCAUGGGUGAAGAGUAAGGGGGAACACCAGGAAUGCCACAUAUUUUCUCCCCCUGCCUAAUUUCUGGAUAAAUUUCAAGUCAUAUAUUUUCUAUGAGAUCCAUCAACCAAAUUUUGUAUCUAAUAUUUCCCUAAGACUUGCUUCAAGAGUUGAUUCGACAGUUAGCAAUGAAGGCAAAACCUAAGCAGUUUUAUUUGGGAAACUUGGGAAUCCUUUACAUUUGUAUAAACCCUAAAAGAAAUAUCUAAUCUAAAGAAGACAGCUGCUAGUAUUUUGAUGGAGCUGAUCUUUACUUCCAAGGUGAGCCAGUUAAAAACAAUCUCAACUGUGACCCAUGGAAAUGUGGCUAAUCUUAUUUUUAAUAUAAAACUAUGGAUUGCUUUCAUAUUUUUCCAUGAACAAUUCUAAAGUGAAUCCUCUCAAACAUUUUGUCUUCUGGGAGGAUUUAACUGAGUUUUGGUUCCAUCCACGAAGGAUUGAGGGGGAAGAUUUGAGUGUGGAAUAAAGGCUUGGUCUCAGACAUUGACACAUGGCAUCAUCUCUAAAACUCAAUAUGAAAACCUUGUGAAGGAGAUUCUUCAGAA